UUCGAAUGAACCUACAAUCUGUAGGGUUUUCAGAUUGUUCGACGAGAUUUACUUCCUUCCCAUUUACAGAUUUUCGAAUAUGAAAUCUCCUUUAUUUUCGAUUGUUCAAUGAUUUUUUUUUUUUUUUUCGUAGUUUCUGUUCGGCGAUUUGGAAUAGAGGUUUUUUGCUUGAAGUCGCCGCGUUUGCUGAAUCUGAACAGAAUUUGAUGGGUGAAGUGGCCAUCAGAGGAGUCAGUGAGGCUUGAGCUAGAUAUCAACAGGGGUGAUCCCACUUGAUGCGUCAUCAGGAACAAGACUGGAAAGGAUAUGAAGGAAGAAACAACAGCAAGCUUUGCUAGGAGGAACCGUCUAUUGAAAAUCGAACCACAGGUCCAGAAGUGGUGGUUAGAGGGUGAUGUGUUUCGGGCUGAUCCAAAGGACCCUCCACCCAAAG